CCUGACAAUGACAAUCCAGUCUCCUUCAAAUCAGAUAACUUUCUUUUCAUUGGCAAUAUAAUUGGCGUUUUACACUGAGACUCUGUAUCAAGGUUAAUCUUCGGCACAGAUUCUGAUAAAACUUCUGAUGCACUGGCAGGGGUAGAAGAAUGCUUUGAACUAUAUACUUUCCUGAUUGAUGAUACUUGUGAUUCAUGGGAUUGAGGCUGAUUUCUUGACUGAAAACCAAUAGCAGGUGAGAAGGCCAGUGCUUUCUUCUUUGCAGAUAUAGCAGAAUCAAAUUUCAAAUUAACAUCUUCAUUGCGUGCAGUAAACUUGGCUUUAUUGGAAAGAAAUCCACCAAGAACACGACCGCCAGGCCAUUGAAGUUGUAUUUGUGAAGUUUCUUGUGUGGAAGCUUGGUGUGCAAGGGACGAUGGUGCUGCCAACGAUGACAAAGGUGUCAAUUGAGCUUCCUUC
rnacentral:lncRNA from 1 species